GCUCCCCUCAGCGCCCCGGCGCUCCCGCCGGCGGUGAGGACUGAGGCGGGGAGCAUCCAGGACCUGCCUGGUGGGCACUGGAAGCCGGGAGCCGCCUGCCUGGCACCUGCCGUAGUGGCUGGCUGUGCCAAAGUGCGACACUUCUCCUCCUCCUUCUCCUCCUCGGCAGCCCCAGAGCCCCCAAAGGCGCUGGGUUCUGGCUGGGUCAGACGGUUGCUCUUGGCCCGCCAACCACCGACUUAUCCUAGCUCCGUGUGGGCUUUGCUCCUUGCAGUUAUGCCCAAAGAGACACCUGGGUUCCUACUGGCACACACGUCACAGGCUGCAGCCAGGGGGAUCCCUUGGUGAAGAAUGGUCUGCACUGGGACUGAGGAAACACUGAACAGCCCAUUGAACAGGUAGGUAGGAAUGAGAUGCUGCUAAAGCUCAUCCCUGCAGAAAUCUGGGAUCUGUAGCUCUCCCCAGAGGACUCAGGAUUGGGGUUAUGCACCGUGGUCUGGUCUCUCAAAAGAACAAAGAAAAACUGGAGGUAAAGUGGAGGCAACUUUUCUUUAUGUGGUCCAAAGGGGUUUGAGUAGCAUCUGCUCUGUAGGUUUGUUAGUUGCAGUUUGAUUUUGGUGGGUUAUGAGUUUCUAAAUGAGGGCAAGUGAGCAGUGCUGCAGAGACAUCAGGACAUAUCUAUCACCAGCCCAUUUUGGUACAUGAGCAUGUUCUGUCACCUUCCCUCCCUCACAUUCACUUUAUGGAUGCUAAUUAAUUACAUCUAGAGCCCCUAUUUUUGCUAAUUUAUUUCUUUUAAAAACCCCAAAAAAACCAAACCACAUAUUUUCAUCACUUAUUGUACAAAUUAAGUAGUACCUCUUAAGUAGUUACAAGAGAGAUAUUUUUAUAUAAUUAAUAUUUUAAAGAAAAUUGUGAUAAAGAAGCAACAUAUUUGUCUCUGAAAUAUUUUUAAGAAUUACAAAUGCACAAAAGUCACUGUGUGCAACCUUAGUAGUUUGGCACUAGGCUGCUGCCAUGAACUAGAAAGAUCACUGGCUAAGGAAGCUGAGGCUCUUUUAAAGUGUAAUUAAAUUAAAGGUCUAUUAUAUUUUUUCACUCCAGUUUUAAUAAUAUAAUCCUUCAUGCCCACUCCCAGCUGGCUAAAUCCUAAUUACAACAUCCCAUAAUUUCUGUAGUAAAAAAAGUAUCUCACUUUAUGUAAAAGUGCUUUGCCACACUUCUGUCUGCUGAUGUCUUUCUCAUUUGUACCUUCUUUGCACUGCUCUGUUUAAAUGUGUCCUUUAUAAGACCUGGCUUUGCUGAUCCCAAGGGCUGGAUUCUUUGCAAGUGUGAUUGGCUCUGAGUGAGCAGAAAAUGUUGGACAUUUUGGCACAAUUAAAAAAAUAGGAAAAGUAUUUUGCCAUCUUUUCUGCACUCUGCAGCCUGCUGAGCUUCCACAGCUGAAGAAACUGACCUCUGUACUGUCAGCUGUGUGCGUGCAUGUUUUAACUGAGUCUUUUAACCUUGUUUUCUAUAUUUAGUUUGGGGUCUCUCAAUGAAAAGGCACUACUGGCCUUAUUUAAGGUAUUUUUCCUUCAGUCUGUUAAAAGGGAAUAUAAAAGGUCUCUGAUGGUUUGCUGAGUUAGUGCCCCUGUGAUUAGCUGUCUGCUGCUCCCCUGCUCCUUUGUACAAGGCAGAGCCACAGCACUCAGCAGCUGAGAAGGGUGUAAUCCCUAGCAAUCCUUUAACAAUGCAGAUGGAAAAGCUCCUGGUAAAUGUUUCUCUAUUUUUUUCAGAAGUUGCUCUCAUCCAAAUAUUUGGGUUUCUGGCUCAUCCUAUGGAUGGCAGCCUGAUGCUCUUUUUCCAGUGUUUGAGAAGAGCUACAUUCUUGUCUUGGAGGGGCUGUUAUUUACAUGGAAAAAUGUUGUAUGUGUGUUCCCAGUCCUCUUCCCACAGAAUCAGCCAAGGAAGUCUCACUGAAAAAGCAAUGUGCAUUUCUCUUAAAUGUUUCUCUCGGGUUCUUGAUCAACAAGAUCUGUUCAAAUCACUGCUUAACCACACAAAGUGCUCAAUUUCCAAAUGUUUGGCCACUUUCCUGUUUUGAUUCAAGAAAGUAAAAAAGUCACUGGCACAUCUGGCCUGUAUGAGAAAACAUCCACUACAGGAGACCUGCUUGAGUGGGAACACCCAAACACUUGGAGUGUUCCUCAAAUUUCAGCUCCAGGAAACAUGGAAUCUGUGGGUUGGACUUGCACAUCCUGGUGCAUGAUUGCUGCAAACUGCUGGAGAGCUGCUGCAUGUGGCAAAGCACAGGAUGUUGAUCACAUCUGUUCUCAGCUGAGUGCUGCCUGGCACUGUCAGAGCGUCAAACAUUUUGCCUAACAGAUAAAUGCAAAGCUUAGGAAUGCUGGAUCAGCAGUUACAGCACAAAGAUGUUUGGUGCAGCAAUGACAGAGUGUCACAACAACUCAUAAAGUUCUGAUUCGGUCUCUCGUGGAGAAAAUUUGCAUUUCAUGCAUCUCAAGGCCCUCACUGACUGCCCUGUUUGCUUGAGAAUCCAGUUUGAAAUUGUACUCCUUGUUUUUCAAGCCACACCCUCGCUCCUUGGACUUCUUUCCAGCUUGUCUCCUGGAGACGGCGCAGCCUGCCCCUUUCCUUCCCUCUGUCUCCUCUCUCCUUCCAGCAAACUUUUUGCUGCUGAGUCAAGAACUUCUAUCAUUGUCUCCCAUCCAGAACUGACUCCUUGUACAUGUCCACAGUCCUUCAUUUUACUGCAAAGUUCCAUACAAGUAGUGCUCUUUUCAUCUGGAAUUCAAUUAUCCCUUUCCAUCUGAUCUUCCUGAAUGCAUAACUCUGGGUUAUACAAAGCACUCUGAGGCUCUGGAUGAGUUUCUUCUGUGGUUUUUGUCAGUCAUUGUGCAAGCUCCUGAGAGCAAGCUGGUAAAAAUUGUAAUGUUUUUGAAGAAGUUAUUUGAAAUGUAAAGAUUAUGUUGUAGAGUUGUUAAAUAUAUAAUUAUUUAAUGUCUAAUUCAUCCUUUGUCAGGAGAAUGGUGUCGCACACGCUUAGCAUUUCAAGACAGUCCUGUUGUGGUGGAUUUUACUCCUGGCAUGUUCUUGACAAAAGGUCACUUUAUGAGUUUACUUCAGGAUGUGAGACCCCAUUCUGUAUUCCCUGCACAUGAAAGCUCUGCUGGAGAUUAUCAUCUCCAUCUCUCCAUCAUCUCCAUCAGUCUGAUAGCAUUUAAUGUCACAAUGAACAGGGGUGUCUAAAGCAGUGCAGGCUGGAGGUCUUUAGGUUCCCCCCAGAGAAUGCCAUGGUGAUACACAAUUCACCUGCAAUGUGCAAACAAUAUGCUUGUCUUCCCUUGCAGGAGCGUUUCCAUUUGAAGGAGCCAUUUCUGUUCAUGAACAGGACACCAGCCUUGAUGCUCUCUGUGCUUUUGUAGGGUUGUUUGCUCCUCCCUGGACACUGAUGUUCUUCAGGCUUUGCAACACAGGUGCUGAAUUCCUUGCAUGGCAGUUUCUUAGCUGAAAUUGCAACUCCUUCAGCCCAGCCUUGUAAAAACAGGGGUGUAGUGGUCAAUGAUACAAAGCUGGAUAAAGGGCAGGGGAGUCAACAUCUGUCUUCAAAAUCCUGAGAGAUGGAUCAGGGCUGCAUCCUACAGCAACCUUUUUAGAAGCUGAAUUCCUCCAGUGUUUUCUCUGGUAGCUCAUUCAUCAAGUGGGAAGAAAGUGAAUGUGUUCUUUGAAAAUCCAAGUGAUGGCAAGAGAUGAGGUAGCCCAUAUAAAUCCAGCAUUGCUAAUUUCACUAGGUUUAGAACAACAGAAACCAAGCUAUGUUUGUAUAUAGACCAAGUAAAAUUUUAGUCUAAAGGAUCUGAUCCUUAAUUACCUUAAUUUUAGGAGCAGAACUAGUCAGUGUGCAUAAACAGGGGAUGAGAAAGGGCUGGAAAGGACCUGGAGGGGUCAGCUGGUGAUCACGAGUGUCCUACAGCCAAUAUUGUCCAAUUGCAGAUUCAUAGGGUGAUGUGAGAAAUGCUGAAUAUAUUGACUGUUAGGGCCUUUUAGCUAUUUCCUUUGAAAUAGACCCUUAAGAGGGAAAACCUCAAUGUUCUUUUUCUUAACAUUAUUAUAUUAUCCACGAAAGAGAAUGAAGCCAAGAAAAGCAGAAACUGAGUUACAUUUGAGAAUAUACUGGCAAACCAUAGGGAUGGUAAACAGACCUUUUAUUUUCUAAAGGGUAUUUACAAUAUAUUUCCCAUUCUCCUACUCCUGGAAAGAAGUGCUCACUAAAUUCAUCUGUGAAUUUCCCUCAUCCUCAGAAGGAAGCAAGUCUUUAUGUGUGUGCUUUCAUUAUGUUUGCCUGUUUCUUUUUCCCCACCACAGUCAGUUUUGUGACCAUUGGCCAAAUUCAACCAAUGUGAUAGAGAGGAAUAAGCUCAAAGAUACUGGAUUCCAGCAAGUUUCAUGAAAACAGGCAGCCACAAUGGAGAGACUUCUGUUUAGAAGGAAUGGCUGAAGUAGGAGUUCAGCUUUUAUUGGCAAAUUUAUGAAGCAGUCAGUGCAAAUCAUGAAAAAAAAAAUCUUUGACCAAGGACAGUACCUUCUGGAAUUAGUUUUAUUGUUCAUGAAAUAUUUUUGUUCCCUUUUCUUACACCCAAAUUCCUGCUUUUCUAUGAAUCUCUACCUUUGCAUCAGCUUUAAAUAUAGGUUCAAAAAUCCUUUCCCAAAACCAUCAUUAUUUUCUGAGCUGUGUUUUCCCCUUCAAAAGCAGGUUUUUGUUAGACCAUGUAAUGCUGUUUUAUGUAACACAAAGGCCCUGGAUUUUUUUCUAUCAGCUUAUAGGACUUCGGGUGGCUGAAGAUAAGUCACUCUCAUUUUUUUAUUCACUCCUGGCUUUCUCUGUCUGGAGUUGUUUGUGGAACAGGUUUUAAUGGACAUUAUCUGCAUUUCUUGCUUCUUAAUGACAUAUACAAUCUGAAUGUAACAGACUGGCUUUUCUGGAACUUCAGUAUUAACUAGAAUAUUCAAGAUACAAACACAACACAAAGAUAUUUCCCAGAGAGGUUGGAAAAUCACACAUUUACUAUCUUUUAGAUUAUUGACAAUAAGCAAGAUGGCUGAGCUGGAAUAAAAUGUGGGCAAGCACAGGCUUACAAGCUGAAAGUCCUCAUAAUGAAAUGGCUACCUAAAAAAAAAUCCUACUAGUGCUCAGUGCCUACAAGGCAGAAGCAAUACAUAAGCACUGUGCAGCCCUGUCACUAGAAUGAAUUUAGAUGACACAAGAUGAAGACAGCCGUGCCCCUUUCUGCCAGAGCUUUCAGUGUAAGCGAUGCUACUUGUGUGAGGAAUGUUGAAAAAAGGGGGAAAACCUGUGCAGAGGCCUUAACAAGCACCAGAGGGAAUUUACAAUGCUGCCUUUUUAGGGUAUAAUUAAUCUUUUUAGAAAGAUCUUCCUGGAUUUAAAGAGAAUUUGGUACUUUCUACUUUUCUAAAGGCCCAAAGGAUGCCCUGAAACAUAAAUAAUUACAUCAUACUUUUGGCAAACUGUGCUAUUCCAGAUAUGUUGUGCAUCUUAAGCAAACACAAGAAAUAAAAGGGGAAGCAUACAAAGUGCUAGCUAAAUCAUUUAUUUAGCAUUUUGUUGUCAUGUCUCUUUGCAGAUUUUUGGUCCUUAUAAUGGAGAAAAUGUGAUCUAAUUAAGUACUAAUUUCAAAAAGACUAUAUGGAGGUUGUUAUGGAGCAGCUUUUAGUUGCCUCCUUUCUAUACCAUACUGCAUCCAGGAAGCAAAGGGAUGAUUUCUACCCCCAGUGCCAGAAUUUUCCCUCUUUCAUCUUAGCUCUCCACAAGUCAUUUGCUCCAACUCAACCAGAGUCUAGUGCUUAAAAUUCUGGAUGGAGUAAGGCUCGAGCUGCAGCACACCAAAAAUGAGUAAUCUUUGAGUGUUUCUACCCAUUUUAAGAAGACUGAAACAUGUUAAUAACAAGCAGCUCUUUUGUUUCUUUGGUCAUGCUGGAAGAGGCAAACUAAAGAAUUGAAAGAAACAAGUUUGGUGUUAAGAAGGAAGCACUUUCACGGGCCCCAAAGAUCUUUAAAUAUGUGCAUAUUUCUCUUCUGGCUCAGAAUGUGACUGAGACAGCACAUGGUAUGUUGCCUGAUGCAAGAACUGUGUUGAGUUAAUGCAUAUUGCCAAGUCUGUGUCUGCAAACAGGAGCUUGGUUUGCUAUAGCUGGGCUGUGGCUGGUCUUACUCUUUCACAGACAGCAAAAUAGCAGAAUACAUAGUAGAAUACAGGGAACUCUUGAGCUUUUUGAUCAAUUAUUCUAGAACAAGGGUAGUCAAAUCUAGGCCAUAGGAUUAAAACGCAGCCUGAAUCCACUCUCAUUUUGACAUAAACAUUUUGGAAUGGUCUGUCCUUUCCCAGUCCACCCACUCAUGUCAAAAAAUGAUGUGGUUGGAUGUGCUGGUGAAGGUCAGCUGUGGGCAUGGUCUCUGGUUAGGCAGGGCUUUCUGAUGUCCUGCCUAAGCAGAGACCUGUGUGUUAGCCCUUUUCACUAGUGUGUUACCUCCUCAGCUGCUGGCUUACAAAACAACAAGGCAGCAUCUAUUACACUGCUGAUCUCAGCUACCACUUCCUCUGUCAUCUCCAUUCAUAGUUACAUAUGACAUGCAGAAUUAUUUUCAGCUCUACUUGGCUUGCAUGUAAUCCAACUUUGCAGCUCCCCCCUGAACUCUGUAAAUGCAACAGCAGGAAGAAGCCACCUUUUGUCCCUUUGGGUCAGGAGGACAUGCCAAACAUCAGCGUGGAUGUGUUCCUGAAAACCAAACUGCUUUCUCUAAGUCUGCUCACAGACUUCAUAAUCCAUCUGUUUUCUGUAAAAUGCAGUUAUUUACAGCAAAGUUCACUUCACAGUACAGUAGCUGCUGUUUAUGUUGCUAUUUCUGAUGAGGUUCAAUAUUGUCUAUUUUUCAUUAUAUCUCAAUGCUGUCUUUAAUUGCCUCUUUCCAGCAGAUUUAUGUAUUAUCCCUCCCGGCUGUUCACACACAGACUUCCCCUUCCUUGGCAAUCUUCCAGUCAUUCCAUACUACAGAGGUACUAGAACAGCAGAGCAGUUGAUGAGUUAAAAUAAAACUACAUUAUGUAGUACUACAUGGCCUACAGAUGACUGAGCAAUUGGGCAACAGAGCGUCCGAGACUCGUCAGAAGUUCUCUUCCUUCUCUUGAUUUUUCAUUUUAUACUUUUGGGCAGGUACAAAAAAAGGUGGUAGAGGCUUAACAAAUAUAUCUUGAAAUGUUAUCUAAUGCCUUUAUUUAUCACUACUCCAGGGAAGAUGUUGGAAUUAAUGAUUCUCUCAAAUAACGAGCUAAAAUUGUUCUCCCAGGAAUCAGCUUCAUAACCCUGACACUUGAGACAUGUGGGGAAGCAGAGACAUUCCCUGGAGAUCUGCUGGGGUCACUAACACAGCCAGGCUGACUCAGCAGCACAUCUACAUGUGCCCAGCUGCAAAGAUACAAGGAGGCUUAAUGGUUUUAAUGUGGUGCUCCACAUAAAUACACACCUCUUUCCUAAAUAAGUACAUUCCUAAUUUAAGGCUUCCUAAUUUAAUGCACCCAGACCCCACUGCUCUGUCAUUGCCAGUAGCUGCUGGUGUCCAGUAACACGUGGAAACCAGCCAUGUGGGGCUGUGUCCCACAGAAGAGCUGCUGGGGUUGUGCUCUUCACCCUGCCUCACCUGGGCACAGGUGAAGCCCUGGGGCUCCUGGCAGGCUGCCACUGUAAACCCAGCACAGCUCCCUUGAGUGGAGAGCAAAGCCUCAAUAUUGCAUUUCAAACACUGAUUAGUAAAGCAGGUGAUUUUAAAAAAAAGGUGUUUGUUUAGCUUAUGGGAUUGUGGAAAAGAAAACAGCUCCAGAAAUCCAAAGCUGGAAAUGCUACAGCAGUCAUGUAAAUGGGAUUCCUCUGAAUGAGCUUCCUUCCCUCCACCUUUGGCUGCAAGGAUGAAAGUCUUUCUCAGACAAGUGCUUUAACAAGCAGCUGAAAUCCAGCUCAACAGAAAGCCAUUCAAAAGGGUCAAGAGCAAGGAUUCAUGCAGUAAAAUAAAUACCUGGAGAUGGAAAAAUCUUUCUUUAUUUUUCCUCCCACAUGUUUUGGAAUUAUUGUGCCAGGAAAUUAUUAAAUCACACAAGUUUCAGUAAUAAUGAAUGCAUUGCUUGGAUGGCAUUGCUGAGGGAUAUGGCUUAAGGAAAAUAACUUUCCAAAGUCAGUGAUGAAAGAUCAGAUAGAUGAGCAAGACUACAAUUUAUAUGGACUUCUGAAAAUAGUACUGGUAUGAGAGGAUAUUCUUCAAAUUAAUCCAAGUGAGCAUUAAGAGGAGGCAUGUGCAUAAGAAACAGAGGGAUCUUGGUUCAAUAUUUUCUGCUGUCAUCCAGCAUAAAGGUUCCCAGUGAUAUUUUGGUUUAACAGGGAAGUCUGACACCUAAUUAGAAGAGGGACAAAUCAGAGCUGCUAAAGCACUUCUGUAUCUCAAAGGCCAUUUAAAAUUUUUGUGAAGAAGGCUACAUUUGCAGUGCAAAAAAUGCCAGUUCAGGGCAUGCCAGAGUUGUUCCGUGUCUCAGUAAGGUUGGUGCCUUCAUAAGAGACCCCUCACGAGCUUGUUUUCUCACCUGCACUUUGCUUAAUGUUGUGAUUCAGUUUUAGGUCAUUCAACAAAAAUUGACCCAUCCCUGAAUUAUUGCAGCUGUGUCAUUUAUUUAAAAACACCUUUCUCUCCAUAGGGUGAUGCAGUAUGUACUGGUGAAUAUUUUCUACCUGUCUCAGUCACACCUGCACAGGGAGCAUGUGGAGAAGAGGUGGGAGGUGGCAGUGGCAGUUUGGCUGCAGCAAAGUGGGCUCUGCAUUGUCACUGUGCCUGCCUUGCAUCUGAGCACAUUCAGGGAGGAUCCCAAAGGCACCCACAAACCCUGCUAGCUCCUGUCCAUGCUGUGUGAAGCUUUGGGAACAAAAAUAAAUGCCAGAAAUGUCAACAGCCUAUAACAACAACGUACAAUGAAGCAGAUAAAAUGACUCACAGGUCUUCUCUGCAGUGCUGUUAGCAGCCUAUAUAUUUUCAGGGCAGAAAAUAAUCUGGAAUUGUCUGAGUCUCCAUCGAAAUCCUGCCUUUUAAGAGUUCUUGGCUUUCCCUAAAAGUCAAAUUAUAAGUAGUAAGUCUUUGGGCAUUCAGUCCUGGUCAUCCCACUUGCAUUAUUCUAGGGGAAAAAAAUACCAGCUGAUGUUGUUCCUCACAAAGCUUUCUCCAUGGGCAGUGGAUGCAAUUGGGUUUCAACCUUUGCUUUAUUACAUGACCCAUAUAUAUCAAACUGCUGGAUUGUUUGUCUGCCUCUCUGCCCAGUCUUCACUCAGAGAGGGAAGGAACAUCCUGUCAUCAUCAUCCAAGAGGAUCAGUGGGCUGAGAUGUAAACAGGCUGGCCAAUGCAGGCACAAGGAAAUGGUGGAAAGAGAGCCAUAAAGUUAAGACUGUCAAGACCUGAGGUAUGCAGCAACCCAGCACUGGAUCCAGGUAACUCACCAUGGAUCUUACUGGGAACCAAGAGCAGACUGCAUCACCACCCUUUGUAGUUGCUUCACACAGGGUAAUCCCUGCAGGAAUUUUUCUUCAAAGGCACCCAGUCAACAAACAUUUCAUGCAAACAAACAGCACAGAAAUUCUAAGAGAAAUUUGGGGUUCAAAUUGUAGGGCAAGCAGGUCAGAUUUUACUACCUACAUAAUUCAAACUCAAUUAGAACUGGCAAAAUCAAUACACCAAUGAGGGCAUACUGAAGGAAAACUCCUCCCUAACCUGUGUCUUUCCCAUAGGUGGAGACUGGGUGAAUUUAAAGGAUGAAAGAGCAAGGAAGAAAUUGGGAAAGACAUUGGAAAUGUUCAGUGAUAACUGAUUUAAUAACUUGUCUAAAUGUAGGGAGAGAUUAGAAGUCAGGAAUAAAGAAACCCAGUUUACAAAAUACAUAAUGUGAGUAAGAAAUUUUGUGAAAUAAAAUCAAAGGAAGAAAAACUGUAAUUCUUCCCAACUGCCCUAACAUGUCAGAUCUGAAAUUAUAAACUCUUUUGGGCAGUGGCUCCCACUGUAGGGCUGUCAGCACCUGACAUACCCAUUCCUAACUCUCAGUUUUCUACACUGGAGGGUCAAUGCCCACGUGGAGGGUGGCACAUGUGCAUGGCCUUGGUGGCACACUCCCUACUCUUGCUGCCCUCACGGACCCUGGCAGGCCGUGGGACACCCCAGGGCUGCCCAAAGGUUUGUCCAAGUGACAGAAAUUCAGCAGCUCCUCAGGGCUGGCCUGGGGUAGAGCUCAGCACUGGCCAUGACUGCUGUCAUUAACAGAGAGAGCAGAUUUACAGUUAAUGGGGAGGAAAAAGGAGUCAUCUUGCAUAGACAUGCCAAGGAGGCCCUCUGCUUUCCACAAAAUAGCCACAGCUAGAGCUGGAAGCCCAUUUUCUAGAAGGUUCUGCCUUGCCAACAGCAAACUCACAGUCCAUCUAGACUUUUUAUAGUGGAGGCAGGGCUGCACAGUCACUGUACUUAGUAAAUAAUGCCUGGCAUUCAGGGAUCUGCCUGUUUUGGCAGCCUGUUUAUUCUGGGGCACCUCCCUGCUUGCUUUCCACUAAACCCUACCAGUCCUUCAGUUCCAGCCCCAGUGGGGUUGGGCUUAACAUCUUCCCAGUUUGGGAAUUUGUAAUAAAUUUAUUUGAAAGCAAACAAACCAACCAACCCACCAAAAUGAAACGAAAAUUGUAGAACUCCCUCUUAAAGCCAAACAUCUUUUCAGAAGCAGGGAGAGGGGCAGGCAGAACAAUGGGGUCCUGCAUUCCAACUGCCCCUGCCCUGCCUGGUGUGAUGUACUUGGAUGAGCAUCCUUCACCUCCCCUUCCUCACUGCACUGUAAGCAAGGAAGUCCUUGAGAGAACACAAAGGGUUGAAAUGCCUGACCAGCCAUAAACAAACAGCUAUAUCCUUAAGACUCUGAAACUGAUUCUCAUGCCAGCAGAGCAAGCAAACUAUUAAUAUUCCUAGCAGAGAUCCAGAAUCCACUGCACUGCUCUAUUCUCUGUCAUCUCCUACUGUGCUCUUUGUACUAUUUUGAUUUCUCUAUAUGCAACAACUAAGUGCAGAGAUGGAAGCAUUCUCAAUUCCCAUUUGUUGAAGAACUCUCAGCAAAAAGGCAGUAAACCAAAGUUAUCUGAAUUAAAAAAAAAUCUGUCAGUCUAUUAACUUUCCUGUUUCAGAGCUUUUGUAAUAAAUAGCACUUCUGAAUCUCUGCAUUACAGUAUCAAACAAAAAUUAAACUCUACUGCUGCAAAAAAACCUCAGAAGCCAAGCUCCUUCCUUCACAUACAUGCAAGAACCUACCUGAAGGUCGAGACAUUCACAAGUUUUCUACCAUCACCAAAUUGGGGACCACACAAAUACCACAAGAAGGUUUUCAAAAAGGUUUGUAUCUUUUUUUGCCUUACUCCUGUUUCACCUGUCCCAUGUUCAUACAUACAUCCAGUUAUUGAUAUUCCUGAUAAUACCAAAUACUAUGGCAAGGUUACUUUUUAGCAACAUCUGGAAUUAUUUUAUCAUCACAAAUAAAUUCUUUUGCAAAAAUAAAUGCUGGUUUACAUUCCUCUCUCAGGAUCUAAGAGAAUCUACUCAAGAAUAACACAGAAAUGUCAUACACUCUCAUUCUCAGAAAACAAAACCCACCAGUUGCAAAAUUAUGUCCAUAAUAAUGGUACAAACUUAACAGAGUAGGUCCUGUGUUUUAACAGAUAUUAUGGGGGAAGAGAAUCAAUGAAGUUGUAAAAAAAAUUUGGGAAAUAAAUGCAACAACUCUUCAUUAACAAUAAGCACCUUUAUUGACUGUCUUACCAUUCAACACUCAUUCCAUUCAAUCUCUUCAACUGCUGAACUGCAGUCCAGUUUAGCAUUUAAAUAAAAGAUAAUGUAAUUUGACUUGUACAAAAAGUGUUAUACCUGGGUGGCACAGAAUUAAAGUUCUAUUUAAAAAAACAUAGACACAAAUAAUCACUACUUGUGAUUUGAAAAUUAAGUCCUAUGUAUUUCAAAGUAAAAAUUAACAGAUAUCCUCCAUAUGAUGUUAUGCUUGUAAAAAUGCCUACAAAAAUGUUUGUUCAGAAGGCAGACUGGUUGGAAAGUAUUUUCUAUUUCACCAUUUAACAAAUGACAUCACUUCACAAGAACCACUAGGCAGCAAAAUAUUUCAGGUGAAUUUCACACAUUAAAAGAACCCCUGACAUCAGCAUGUCCCAAUGAUUUCAGCAGGGCCCACACAGCUCAGCACAGCAAAAAAAAUCCGUGUAGUACAGUCUAAAAUUCAGCUACAUAUAAUUUGUUACAAGAUUUAAUUCAAUGCUCAGGAAAUUUAAAAAUCACAUCACCUAGGAGUGUAGUCAUCAGAUACUGGUUAUUCCCAUUCUUUUUCCUUGCUGUUUUUAGAAUUUUAUGUUUGUGUUAUGAAGGGCAUAAGCUACUUCCCAAUGUUCAAGAUCUCUUCAAAACUGAUUAGUAAACUUUUUGAGAAAUUGGAAAACUGCUUUUUAUAAAGUAUUUUAUAAAUAAAAAUAGUUGGGGUUUUUUUGCCAUCUUCUAACCUUAUUAAGCUUCUACCCAAGCCAAUAAAAUUAACCAGAGCUAUUUUGCUGCAAGAACACCAGCUUAUAUGCCAACAUGAAUAUGCAGGCAAAAUAAUUUAUCAAAAAUUAGCACAUGAGUGCAAAUUAAACUUCUUCUGAAAGUCCUGGACUCUACACAGUUUAAGUUUUUCAACAGUAUCCAAGAAGAAAUAAAAGUCCAUCUGAGGAAACAGUAAGAAAAGCUACUGAAGUAAAUCCUUCACUAUACAUGCAAAAUGGCAUUUCCUGGAAAAGCAAAAAUCAUGUGUUAUUUUCCUUUUAAAUUUCCUUUUCCUGUAGGAUGGAAAAUUAUUCCAACAGAUAAAAAACAUCAUCACUAUUACAAAAUAGUGGUGUCUCCUCAUGUCAGUUAGACUUAAGUUUGUUAUCAGCAAAAAUCAAUAUGAAAGCAGAGACAAGCAAUUCAGUUUGUAGCACAAAGUCUUUUGUACCCAUGCACCAUCUUUUUCCCCCUGCAAAGGAAACCCAGUGUGGGAAGUGAUCCUUUAAAACAAGGCCAUUAAAACCAAAGAAAAGUAAUCAAUAGAGCAAGAAAACCUAAGUAAAGGGAGGCAUACAUGACUGGGGCAGUGGAUGGGAUUGUUAGGAGGAGUUAGACCUCUGUAGAUUCCACAUGGCUGAGAUCCUGGGCUUCUACUCUGCUUGGAUCAGGGCAUUCUCAAAGAAAAAAUAUGGAUUUAUUUCUUAUUCCCAAAGCAAAACCAGGGAUUUAUUUUUUAUUUCCCUUCCCUGCCUGUGUUUUUAAUGGCAUCAAAGAUAUCCAGGAUGCACUGAUUAUUUCACAAGGCCAAAACAACUAAAGAUUUGCUCAAAAACUUGAGUUAAUUCUGUGAAGUAAUUUAGACUAAAAAUGGAAUAGCUUACAUCACAAAGGCAGCACAGUUCACCCUUAAAUCAAAGAUUUUUGCUUGGAUUCAAGCUCCAGAUUUCUUACUACACAUGACAGAACCAGAUCCUCCAGUGACAUUUUUCCUCCAUUUGCCAUAACUUAGUCAAGAAAGUCUCACUCAGUGCCCAUCCUUGUUAUCAGAGCAAACACUGAGUUGUGACACAGUUGCUUACAGGUGAAGGGAGAUUCCACACUAAAAGGACUAUUAUUUAAACAAAUAAGAAACUAAACCAGGUAUAAUCAAAAUUUCAAUCUUCCUUCACUGAGGUACUUAACAUAAGAACACUAACAACUAUAUAAUUUACAAAAUAAAUGUAUCAGCUGUCUUGAGGCAUCAAAUUAUAUAAUUAAUAAAUAUUCUAACAGAGUAAGAUAAUUAAUCAUGGCAUAAACCCAAAUAGUAAAAUGAUAUAUUAAUAUUAAUAGGCUAUUUAUAAUUCUUUAUGUGCAUAAAUGAUACAAACUGAAAAAUUAAAAAGCAAUUAAAGGUAGUCAAUUGCUCUUUAAUUUUUAUGUCCCUCCAAAAGAGAUUUUUUUUUGGGAGGGGGACUAAAAUUAAUGCCAUCAGUAACAAAGGGAACAGAGGCUCACCUUAAAUCUAAUUCACAACUCAACCCUGCCAGUAUGCCAGAAAGAGUAUUUUUUCCAUAAUACUAUGUCCAGUAAGUGUAGCUUUUUUAGCGAUUUAUUUUUCUACAAGUGAACUUUCUGGAGACAGUAAAACAAGAAAGGCUCAGUUUCUCUUAUAUCCUUAACAACUGGAUUCACCUUGUGGCAAGUGAGCUGAAGGUAACACAUCCCUUGAAAAAGGAAUGAGUGGGGUGUGAACGUGACAUCUGUGAAGGGGACAAGCUUGACAGCCUGAACACCAAAGCCUUUCUUUAAUUCAUAAGGCAAUGUGGCACUAGUUCAAAAGAAGUAACAAUCUCCUCCUAGCCACACACUGUCACCUGUGAUGUCCCAACUGACACAGGUCCCUUGGCCUCUCCAAACAGGGACCCUGCUUGCUUUCACAACAGCAGCAAGCUCUCUCACUGUCAUGUCUGCAGGCUGGAGAAGAAUUGUGAUUUUGUUCUACAGUGACCCUUACAAAAGGACAAAACAAAGUGAAAGCCCAAAUUCUAUCUGGAAGACUCAAAAAUGGUUUUGGGCUUUUCUUCAUUUGGAAUUAUUCUUACCUGCUAAGCCAGUGCACAUGCAUGUGAACCACAAUGGAGUUUCUUAACAGUCACAUUACCUAGCAAAGCCCAGCAUCUGCUCCAUCUGUAAUCACAUCUGAAAUAAAUGCUAAAGAACAGUCUUCUACAAUCUGUUUGUGCACUAUCAGAUUUCCAUUUCCUAAAUGGAAGCUGUUUUUUCAAAUAACCACCUAAAUUAAUAAUUUGAGAAAGAGCAGAAAAUUAAAAACAGAUGGUGACCAUUUCUGCAAAAGAAUCUUUAAGAGCACACACAUUUAAAUCCUGAUUUUGUUACCCAAACAAUUUGGGUCACUGUCAAUGAACAUUUCUUGCAGGCCAUAAGAUACCCUUAGAGAUCUUUACUGACAAGACUGUAAAGGCAAAAGUAUUUAGUUACCCAAACAUAAAAACCACAAUUUGUGGAUGCACCAUUUGGGCAAAGUCAUCUUAGGAAACAGAACACACACAGGAUAUUACCAUUACUGCACGACACCCUUGAUAUUUUACAACUUCCACAGAACAGUUCAUUCCCUAAGCCCCAGAAAUGCUGCAGAACAGUCACUAAAAAAUAUUUUUACAGCUGGAAAUCAGCAUUUUUUUCUGAAUUUAACAUAUCUGUAGGUAAACAGAAUUAGCAACAUUUCUUCUGAACAAAGCAGCACAUUCUGCUCCCCCUGCCCCCUCCCCAAAACAGAGGCAAAAAUGCAGCUCCUUUUCUCAUCACAGCUCCCAGGCCAAGGGCACUGCAGCUCUGUGGAGUGAGAAUUCCUCCACACACACCAUGCAGUUACACAGCUGAACAGGGCAUCCUGACCCAGCACUGAGGGAUUCCACUCCACAAGCACUUUUCCCAUGUACACUAAGAGGAAAUGUAUUGUGCUGACUUAAGGCUAUGUAAUUUUAAUGACAACAAAACCAGUAACAGAGCAGAAAAAAAGGAGAAACAGAUACCGCCCAAGAUUUUUCUUAAGAGAUGAGUUGAGAUGAGGCAUUCAGGAUGAACCAACACCGAACAAAAGAAAUUCAAAAAGUCAAAUUUAGAGUUGUCGGACUUUCCUAUCAGUGUUUUUAAUGUUGACAUCCAGGGUCUCCACUUUCUUCGUGAGCCGAUCCAACAUAUCAUCCUGCUCUUCUAUUUCAGUCUGCAGGCCAAGAGCGAGGCUCUUCAGGCGACUCAGCCCCGAAGACAUCUCAUCUGCCAGGGCACAGAGGGACCAUGAGCAAUCACAGUGCUGUAACACAGAUUCUCUAAAUGGACACUAUCAGGAUUCCUUCUUCUCCUGGGCUAGAAAACGUUAGAUACAAUUCCUCAACUGUGAGCAUUCCUCUGAAAUAGAGGAAGCACUGGUCAGCUACACAGUGACACAUGUAAGCAAACAGGCACUUUGUCUAUAUGCUACAGAACAAGGGAAGGCAAACUCAGCUGAAUGAUUUUGAGAAGUAAUAAAAGAAAUGCAGCAAAUCCACAAAUCUUUAGUACCUUUCAAUUCUUAGCAACUUUUAGCAAAACAUGUAUUUCAAAAGCUGUGCAUUGCUUUAAAUUACUUAGGUCUAAACUGAUGUACCAUGUAGAUAGUUUUGAAAUGCAAAUACAAGCAAAUGACUUUUUUAAUUAUCAUCAAAUUUUACAAAUCAACUAAACAAAAAAGCGUUGGCAAUGUAUCACUUAAUGAUUCUAUCUGCUUAGGAACCAAAGAUUCCCAAUUGUACAACAUCAAACAGCUUCAGUUUCCUCACUCACCUAAGUUGGUAUCAAUUUUCUGGUGGUAAGCUCGCAGCUGUUGGUUCUUUGGGUAGGCAUCCCUUUGCACUGAAGAAACUAAAUCUGCUUUGUUGAAGUCAUUGUCUGUCAAGAGUAUAGAGCACAGAAUAUUACAUAAUGAAAAAGCAUGUGAGAAGAGGUUUUGAGCUUUUAGCAAGGCUGUUAAUAAUUAGUUUGCACACAGCAGCCAGGUAAUCACAUAACCAGAGUACCGGGAGCAGUCCGAGACCAUUUUCUAUAGGCCAGCCCUGCAGAUGAACACUUCAGCUACAAUUAUUCUCUUUCGGGCUAACACUUGCAGGGAGCCGGGAGAGAAAAGCGAAGCGAGCCCCCGGGGGACCGGGAGCCGCUCUGCCCUCUGCUGCACAGAGCCCGGCACCGCACGCGGGGGCUGGGACUGAGCAUCAGAGCCUUCACUGCCUCACUCACACACCACCAUCAUCAUCAUCAUCAUCAUCCACAUCCUGCUGCCCUCCCGCUCCUACUGUGUGAGAUAGCCCAGGCUCACCUGAUAAAGAAACAUUAUUUAGUACGGAAAAGCCCUUACAGAAGUGAACAGAUUGAGAGGAGGAGGAAUGAGGCCAAACUGCAUACACCACCUUUUGAGAAUCAAGAGAUAGAUUCUGUAUGAAGGGUUAGAAUCCAUGUCUGAAAUAACAAGGCAAUGUAUCUGAAAACUACGACAAACAGUGGUUAAAAGGAGAACCUCUGAGCGUGCAACAUUUUGGCAAACUUAGGGAAACCCUGUCUGCACACUGUGUGCAUUCUCUGCAAAUAGAGGCACUGGGUGCUUUUAGUCUCUAGCAGGUAUAACACCUUCACUGUGGAGAUAAAGUGUUUAAUGGAAACAAUUCCCUAGAAUUCAAAGCAUGAAGGCUGGGAUCAAAACUCCAGAUGUUAGGCAGCAGGGUAAGUCAGCAGCUGGGCAGGCUGAAGGGUCUCUGCCUUCAUCACUCUGCAAGUUUGCCCCACACAGACGACAGGCAUUCAGUGUAAAAUAAAAUUAACAAACCUGAAUCAUCUAGC